AUUCUGUCACCAUCUGUUGCUAACUCCGGUCAGCACCAUGCCAGCAGCCACGGUCCCCAGGCUGCGACGUGGAGGUUCCACGUAGACCGAUCCAGUCCGCUACGCAUCGUUUUACGCGGACGUGCGCCACACCUAGCGCCGAUGC
rfam:Pseudomonas alkylphenolica strain KL28 chromosome, complete genome.